CGGCAAUAUCACAUUAAAACAGUUCUUCUCGUAUGAUCACCGAAGUUAAGCAACGUCGAUACUGGUCAGUACCUAGAUGGGUGACCGCUUGGGAAUGUCAGGUGCC